rnacentral:tRNA from 1 species
GGAGCAGUGGCUGAGAUGGCUUAAGGCGCACGAUUGGAAAUCGUGUGAACGUUAAUAGCGUUCCGGAGGUUCGAAUCCUCUCUGCUCCGCCA